rnacentral:rRNA from 1 species
CCAGACUCCUACGGGAGGCAGCAGUGAGGAAUAUUGGUCAAUGGCCGGAAGGCUGAACCAGCCAAGUCGCGUGAGGGAGUACUGCCCUAUGGGUUGUAAACCUCUUUUGUCGGGGAGCAAAAGCCGGACGUGUCCGGCUGUGAGAGUACCCGAAGAAAAAGCAUCGGCUAACUCCGUGCCAGCAGCCGCGGUAAUACGGGGGAUGCAAGCGUUAUCCGGAUUUAUUGGGUUUAAAGGGUGCGUAGGCUGUGAGGUAAGUCAGCGGUGAAAUGCCCCCGCUCAACGGGGUGAAGUGCCAUUGAUACUGCCUUGCUGGAAUGCGGAUGCCGUGGGAGGAAUGUGUGGUGUAGCGGUGAAAUGCAUAGAUAUCACACAGAACACCGAUUGCGAAGGCAUCUCACGAAUCCGCGAUUGACGCUGAUGCACGAAAGCGUGGGUAUCAAACAGGAUUAGAUACCCCCGUAUA